UACGAGUGCGUCGAGCGUUAUCCGGAAUCAUUGGGCGUAAAGGGUGUGUAGGUGGCGUUGUUAGUCUCCCGUAAAAUUCCUCGGCUCAACCGGGGGCGCGCGGGAGAAACGGCAAUGCUUGAGGUUGGUAGGGGUCUCUGGAACUCUAGGUGUAGCGGUGAAAUGCGUUGAUAUCUAGGGGAACACCAAAAGCGAAGGCAGGAGACUGGACCACACCUGACACUGAAACACGAAAGCGUGGGUAGCGAAUGGG
rnacentral:rRNA from 1 species